UCGUUACAAAUCAAAAGUCCCGAUAGGGUUCACUUGAAUUAAAGUGAAUAUGCCUUGUAACCAAAUAAUAUAGUGGGGGAGACAUUA
rnacentral:sRNA from 1 species